rnacentral:rRNA from 1 species
GCUUGUCUCAAAGAUUAAGCCAUGCAUGUCUAAGUAUAAACAACUUUAUACGUGAAACUGCGAAUGGCUCAUUAUAUCAGUUAUAGUUUCUUUGAUGGUGACACUACUUGGAUAACCGUAGUAAUUCUAGAGCUAAUACAUGCAGCAAUCCCUGACUUAGGAAAGGGUGUACUUAUUAGAUGGAAACCAAUGCGGGGCAACCCGGAUUCUGGUGAUUCAUAAUAACUUUCGGAUCGAUCUUCGGAUCGAUGCAUCAUUCAAGUUUCUGCCCUAUCAGCUUUGGAUGGUAGGGUAUUGGCCUACCAUGGCUUUAACGGGUAACGGAGAAUUAGGGUUCGAUUCCGGAGAGGGAGCCUGAGAAAUGGCUACCACAUCCAAGGAAGGCAGCAGG